CAAGGAAUUUUCCGCAAUCGACGAAAGUCGGACGGAGCAACGCCGCGUGGGGGAAGAAGGCCCUAGGGUUGUAAACCCCUUUUGCGAGGGAAGAAGAUCUGACGGUACCUCGCGAAUAAGUCACGGCUAACUACGUGCCAGCAGCCGCGGUAAUACGUAGGUGGCGAACGUUGUCCGGAUUCACUGGGCGUAAAGCGCGCGCAGGCGGACCGAUAAGUCUGAGGUGAAAGCUCCCGGCUCAACUGGGAGAAGCCCUUGGAUACUGCCGGUCUUGAGACAUCUAGAGGAGAGUGGAAUUCCCGGUGUAGUGGUGGAAUGCGUAGAUAUCGGGAGGAACACCAGUGGCGAAAGCGGCUCUCUGGGGAUGUUCUGACGCUGAGGCGCGAAAGCGUGGGGAGCGAACCGGAUUAGAUACCCCCGUAGUCC
rnacentral:rRNA from 1 species